UUUCAGACUGCAGGACUGAGAUCUGUCCAUCAACACAACAGAAACGACGGCAACCAUGACUCUGAUCACCAUCUUUAUCUGGACCCUGGUCUGCUGCUGUCUCAAAGGAUCCAGAGGUCAGGUGACUGUGACUCAGCCUCCUGUAGUGACAUUUUCUCCAGGAGACCCUGUCACUCUGACCUGUACAACCAACCCUAAAGUGCACAGAUGGGAUGAUGGAGAUGAGGGUGUGUUCUGGUAUCAACAGAGACCUGGAGAAGCUCCCAAACUCCUGAUAAUAUACGCAAAGAAACUGUUAGAUGGGAUUCCUGCUAGAUUCAGUGGCAGUGGGUCUGAGACGGACUUCACUCUGACCAUCAGUGGAGUCCAGGCUGAAGAUGCAGCAGUUUACUACUGUCAGAGUUACCACAGUGGAGGUGUGUUCACACAGUGAUUUAGAGCCGUACAAAAACCUCCUGUACAAAAUGACACACAUCAUUGGUCCACUGAACACAGAACUAAAGGUCUUGUUAUAUGACAUCACCAAGUAUAAACACUUUACAAACUCACAGAAAUAAUGGUUACAAACUAGUUUCAUAACUCUUCCAAACUCCAAUGUCUGCAAAUGUCCUCAGGAA